rnacentral:rRNA from 1 species
UACGUAGGGCGCAAGCGUUAUCCGGAAUUAUUGGGCGUAAAGAGCUCGUAGGCGGUUUGUUGCGUCGGCUGUGAAAUCCCGAGGCUCAACCUCGGGUCUGCAGUCGAUACGAGCAAACUAGAGUGUUGCAGGGGAGACUGGAAUUCCUGGUGGUAGCGGUGAAAUGCGCAGGAUAUCAGGAGGAACACCGGUGGCGAAGGCGGAUCUCUGGGCCGUAACUGACGCUGAGGAGCGAAAGCGUGGGGAGCGAACAGG